AGAGUUUGAUCCUGGCUCAGGAUGAACGCUAGCGAUAGGCUUAACACAUGCAAGUCGAGGGGCAGCAUGGUCUUAGCUUGCUAAGACUGAUGGCGACCGGCGCACGGGUGCGUAACGCGUAUGCAACUUGCCUCACAGAGGGGGAUAACCCGUCGAAAGACGGACUAAUACCGCGUACACUUGGGAUAGGGCAUCCUGACCCAAGGAAAUGAAAUUCGCUGUGAGAUAGGCAUGCGUCCCAUUAGCUAGUUGGUGAGGUAACGGCUCACCAAGGCGACGAUGGGUAGGGGAACUGAGAGGUUGAACCCCCACACUGGUACUGAGACACGGACCAGACUCCUACGGGAGGCAGCAGUGAGGAAUAUUGGUCAAUGGGCGAGAGCCUGAACCAGCCAAGUCGCGUGAAGGAUGACUGUCUUAUGGAUUGUAAACUUCUUUUGUAGGGGAAUAAAGAAUGGUACGUGUACCAUAGUGAAUGUACCCUACGAAUAAGCAUCGGCUAACUCCGUGCCAGCAGCCGCGGUAAUACGGAGGAUGCGAGCGUUAUCCGGAUUUAUUGGGUUUAAAGGGUGCGUAGGCGGCCUGUUAAGUCAGCGGUGAAAUCUAGGAGCUUAACUCCUAAAUUGCCAUUGAUACUGGCGGGCUUGAGUGUAGAUGAGGUAGGCGGAAUGCGUGGUGUAGCGGUGGAAUGCAUAGAUAUCACGCAGAACUCCGAUUGCGAAGGCAGCUUACUAAGGUACAACUGACGCUGAAGCACGAAAGCGUGGGUAUCAAACAGGAUUAGAUACCCUGGUAGUCCACGCAGUAAACGAUGAUAACUGGGCGUAUGCGAUAUACAGUAUGCUCCUAAGCGAAAGCGUUAAGUUAUCCACCUGGGGAGUACGCCGGCAACGGUGAAACUCAAAGGAAUUGACGGGGGCCCG
rnacentral:rRNA from 1 species